GGUCAAGCUAAUAAGAGCAUAGGGCGAAUGCCUUGGCACCAGAAGCCGAUGAAGGACGGGGUAAGCACCGAUAUGCUUCGGGGAGCUGCAAACAAGCUUUGAUCCGAGGAUCUCCGAAUGGGGAAACCCACCUAGAUUUUCUAGGUAUCAUCUACUGAAUACAUAGGUAGAUGAAGGGAUACCAGGGGAACUGAAACAUCUAAGUACCCUGAGGAAAAGAAAGAAAACUCGAUUUCCUAAGUAGCGGCGAGCGAAAGGGAAACAGCCUAAACCUAUUGAGUUUACUCUUUAGGGGUUGUGGACCAGCAUUUAAUAAGUUCUUCUUGUAACUGAAUGACCUGGAAAGGUCAACCGUAGAAGGUGAUAGUCCUGUAAGUGAAACUAGUUGACUUAUUGCUGGUAUCCGAAGUACCAUGGGGCACGUGAAAUCCUGUGGGAAGCUGGGAGGACCAUCUCCCAAGGCUAAAUACUAACUGGUGACCGAUAGUGAACAAGUACCGUGAGGGAAAGGUGAAAAGAACCCCGGAAGGGGAGUGAAAUAGAAUCUGAAACCCUAUGUUUACAAGCAGUGGAAGCACUUUAUAUGUGCGACCGCGUACUUUUUGUAGAACGGGCCAGCGAGUUACGAUAUAUAGCAAGGUUAAACUUUUUUAAAGUGAAGCCGUAGGGAAACCAAGUCUCAAUAGGGCGUUUAGUUGUAUGUCGUAGACCCGAAACCGGGUGACCUACCCAUGAGCAGAGCGAAACGAAAGUAAAAUUUCGUGGAGGCUCGAACCGUUUAGUGUUGAAAAACUAUCGGAUGACUUGUGGGUAGCGGUGAAAUUCCAAUCGAACCCGGAUAUAGCUGGUUCUCCUCGAAAUAGCUUUAGGGCUAGCCUCAAGAUAGUGACGUGGAGGUAGAGCACUGAAUGGUCUAGGGGCACUUAGUGCUACCAAAACCUAUCAAACUCCGAAUGCCACAGUCAUGUUUCUUGGGAGUCAGACUGCGGGAGAUAAGUUUCGUAGUCGAGAGGGAAAGAGCCCAGACCACCAACUAAGGUCCCUAAAUCCAGAUUAAGUGGGAAAGGAUGUAAAGUUACACAGACAACCAGGAUGUUGGCUUAGAAGCAGCCAUUCAUUUAAAGAGUGCGUAAUAGCUCACUGGUCGAGUGGCUUUGCGCCGAAGAUUUCCGGGGCUAAAAUCUGGUACCGAAGUUGUGGAUUCGUAAGAAUGGUAGAGGAGCAUUCUGUACGGGCUGAAGCUACACCGUAAGGAGUGGUGGACUGUACAGAAGAGAGAAUGCUGGCAUGAGUAGCGAUAAGGCGAGUGAGAAUCUCGCCCGUCGAAAGCCUAAGGUUUCCUGAGGAAGGCUCGUCCUCUCAGGGUUAGUCGGGACCUAAGCCCAGGCCAAAUGGCGUAGGCGAUGGACAACAGGUUGAGAUUCCUGUACUGUUUACAUGCGUUUGAGAGAUGGGGUGACGCAGGAGGAUAGGCUAUACGUACUGUUGGUUAUGUACGUCCAAUCCUGUAGAGAGCUCCUAUAGGCAAAUCCGUAGGAGAGUCUCAAGAGGUGAUGGGGAGCGAAAAAUAAGUAGUGAAGUAGCUGAAUCCAUACUGCCAAGAAAAGCCUCUAUCGAGUAUGUAAAUACCCGUACCGCAAACCAACACAGGUAGGCGAGGAGAAAAUCCUAAGACGUUCGGAAGAACCCUUGUUAAGGAACUAGGCAAAAUAACCCCGUAACUUCGGGAGAAGGGGUGCCGACUAAGGUGAAGCACUUGCUGCGUAAGCUUUAGUUGGCCGCAGUGAAUAGGCCCAAGCGACUGUUUACCAAAAACAUAGGUCUCUGCUAAGUCGAAAGACGAUGUAUAGGGGCUGACACCUGCCCGGUGCUGGAAGGUUAAGGGGAAGAGUUAGCGUAUGCGAAGCUCAGAACUUAAGCCCCAGUAAACGGCGGCCGUAACUAUAACGGUCCUAAGGUAGCG
rnacentral:rRNA from 1 species